UAUCACCACUUUGUUCGUAUGCUGGAGAAAACCUAGAAGCGAUAUGCCGUGGAAGGACAUUCCAUGCACCUUGUGAAAUUUCUUUCUAGUUCAGUUGGAGUCAACCUUUCCAAAUUUUAUUUGUGAGUCAUCGGCUUUAUUAUUUUAGAGUUAGCAUUUGAAAAUGAGGUUCAUUUUUCUUAUAUUUAGUGUGCAUUAUAUAUUGCUUGUGACAUCCAAUAAGUACUUCUUGG
rnacentral:misc_RNA from 1 species